GACGAACGCUGGCGGCGUGCCUAACACAUGCAAGUCGAGCGGGGAACUGCGGAAUGAAGCUUCGGCAGAAUGAAACAGUUUCUAGCGGCGGACGGGUGAGUAACGCGUGAGUAACCUGCCUAUCACUGGGGAAUAACGCAUCGAAAGGUGUGCUAAUACCGCAUGAGACCACAAUGUCGCAUGACGAAGGGGUCAAAGAUUUUAUUGGUGAUAGAUGGGGCUCGCGUCUGAUUAGCUAGUUGGUGAGGUAACGGCUCACCAAGCCGACGAUCAGUAGGGGUUCUGAGAGGAAGGUCCCCCACACUGGAACUGAGACACGGUCCAGACUCCUACGGGAGGCAGCAGUGAGGAAUAUUGGUCAAUGGUCGGAAGACUGAACCAGCCAUGCCGCGUGCAGGAUGACGGCUCUAUGAGUUGUAAACUGCUUUUGUAUGAGGGUAAAAUUAGGUACGUGUAUCUAACUGCAAAGUAUCAUACG
rnacentral:rRNA from 1 species